GAUGAACGCUGGCGGCGUGCCUAAUACAUGCAAGUCGAGCGAAUGGAUUAAGAGCUUGCUCUUAUGAAGUUAGCGGCGGACGGGUGAGUAACACGUGGGUAACCUGCCCAUAAGACUGGGAUAACUCCGGGAAACCGGGGCUAAUACCGGAUAACAUUUUGAACCGCAUGGUUCGAAAUUGAAAGGCGGCUUCGGCUGUCACUUAUGGAUGGGCCCGCGGCGCAUUAGCUAGUUGGUGAGGUAACGGCUCACCAAGGCGACGAUGCGUAGCCGACCUGAGAGGGUGAUCGGCUACACUGGGACUGAGACACGGCCCAGACUCCUACGGGAGGCAGCAGUAGGGAAUCUUCCGCAAUGGACGAAAGUCUGACGGAGCAACGCCGCGUGAGUGAUGAAGGUUUUCGGAUCGUAAAACUCUGUUGUUAGGGAAGAACAAGUACUAGAGUAACUGCUAGUACCUUGACGGUACCUAACCAGAAAGCCACGGCUAACUACGUGCCAGCCGCCGCAGUAA
rnacentral:rRNA from 1 species